AAACACACCAUACUUCUGAAACCACCAGAUUCCCCUAUCCAAACCCUUAUCCUACGCGCACUUCCGUCCAGACAGGCUUACACUCUCUAUCUUCUCUCUCAUAAAAAAAUGGCCGCCGAGUUACUUCCACCGGAUGGCCCAAUCACCGCCGCCGCCGCCACCACCACCACCGCAGCAUCCGCCGCCAUAGACCCCACUACAACUGCAACAACAACAGCUCUAGCCCUAGCUGAAUCAGAAAACCAUGGGCCACCACCACCAAUACUAAAACGGCAACGUCGACCAAGCGUCCGUCUCGGUGAGAUCGGGGACCACCAUCACCAAACAGCACAUGACACGCACGUGCGACGGUCAACAAAGCAGCUGCAGCAACACCACACGUGGCGCAUCCCUAAAGACUCCUCAAAAUCAAUCAAAGCUCGUUCUUUAACCCAUCUCGUUAACGGAAACAGCAACGAAAUUGAAGAACACGAGCUCCCUAACAAUAAUCAAAACGGAGAUCUAAAUCUUCUCGAGUUCGGUCAUGGAAGGAAAGCGAAGAGAGGUACAACGAAGAGAGUGAGAUCGAAUUGGAUUUCAUCGAAUUCUAGAAUCGAUGAAGGAGAUACUAAUUUGGAGAAUUCAAAUGGAGAGGAAGGGUUUGUUCGGGAAUUCGAUCUUGAUUCUGAUAGUCCUUUAAAAGAUCAAAGUCCGGUUCAUUCUGUUGAAAAUGUUGCUUUAGAUUUCUGGCAAGGGAAUCGGAGAACAGGCACGGGUUCUGGUCGAGUUAGGGUUACAGAGAGUAGGGAAAAUGAAGGAAUAGAAAUGGAGAAUGAUGAUAAUUCGGAGCGAAAAUGGGAAGGCGUGAGGACUUGGUUGAUUGAGUUAGGGUUAAGUCGAUACGCCCCUGUUUUUGAGAUACAUGAAGUGGAUGAUCAAGUGUUGCCGUUAUUGACAUUGGAGGAUUUGAAAGAUAUGGGAAUAAAUGCAGUUGGUUCGAGAAGGAAACUGUAUUCCGCGAUUCAGAAGCUUAGAAAGGGGUUUCAUGCAGAUCAUGCCCUUUUCAUAAAUGAUGAAGGGGUCAACUGCUGAAGUGUUGUCCCUCUUGAAGAAAUUUGUGCAUCGGGGAAAUUAAUCGCGCAUUCAUUUCAUUCUGCAAUGCUAUUUUUGGUGUAUUUGGCUUAAACUUUCUGAAGAAUGUCUGAUUGGUGGAAUAUUAGAGUUUAAAGAAUGAAGCAAGUGAUGAACUAGUGAACUAUGAAGAUUUCUGCAAUAUUCAAGACUUGCCUCUGUAACACAUGAUCUAAAUGAUUUGGAAGAGCUGAGUAGCAGUUCUGUGUAUAUAAUGCGGGAAUAAUAUCAAACACGAGGAAUGCAGAACCUAAUUGGAGCUGUGGACUUCUUGCUUUAAUGUUCUUUGACAUGGUUUUUACAUGUAUUGUUUACAGUUUGACACUGACGUUUGCAAUAUUUUUGGGGGAUGCUACUGAAGUUCUGGCAGCGCAUAUCAGCAUAUGCCUUUGCUUCUCUUUCUUUGCGAUGUGUUCUAUUGUUUAAUUGUUUUCAAUUCUAGCUGUUUAAUUACAUUAUUUCAAAAUAACAAUUAAGAUGAUUGCAUUUGUGUCCCGAA